GGUUCAGAACGUCGUGAGACAGUUCGGUCUCUAUCUAUCGUGGGCGUAGGAAAUUUGCGUGGAGCUGUCACUAGUACGAGAGGACCGUGAUGGACUGACCUCCGGUGUACCGGUUGUUCCGCCAGGAGCACCGCCGGGUAUCCGCGUCGGGACGGGAUAAGCGCUGAAAGCAUCUAAGUGCGAAGCCCACCACAAGAUUAGAUUUCCCUUGAGGGUCGUCGUAGACCACGACGUUGAUAGGCUGCAGAUGCAAGCAUGGUAACAUGUUCAGUCGAGCAGUACUAAUUGCCCGAGAGCUUUUCUUUA
rnacentral:rRNA from 1 species